UGGCAAAAUACUUCUCCUAGGGGAGUACAGACAAAUAUAGACAGACAGAUGGGGGCACAGGACACCAGACAGGGAGGGGGGAAGGGAGGGCAGUGGUGUCUUCUAAUCAGUAAGUGGAAGCUGCACCCCACCCCCAGGUGGAGGGUGGGACAUUGGCACAGGAGGUGGCGAGACAGGCAUGAGGUGCCCAUCCCUGAGGCGGGCAGCCGGGCAGGCCCCAGUCCUUGUUGGCACACUCGGCUCUCUCUGGCCCAGCUGGGAUGCUGGGGAGGGGCAGGGUUGCUGGGCUACAGGGAUGCCAAGGCAAAGGGAUGCCCCAGGGGAGAGGGGGUACCAAGGCCUCUCCUGGGGGAAGUGAACAUGGGUAACAAACAGAAUCACGAGAGGCAAAUACAGAGCAGCAACAGCAGCAGCCAAGCCCCCCAGAGGAGAUCCGAGGUCCCAAGGCAACCCCUGGGCACCAUCCCACGGGUCCUCUCCCCUGGGGCCUCAGGGUGAGGGUGAAGGAGCAGUUUUUUGGUUUAAAAUGAGGCGGACCAGAGUGUUCCAUGGGCUCCACACCCAGGUGGCACAGGGAUGGGGGGCUCAGAUGCAGAGGGGCCCCCUCUACUAAUGGCAGCAGGCAAGGGAUGUUGGAGGCCAAGCUCAUUCCUGGGGUAGGCAAAGGCUGAGGCAUGGAGGUGGGGGGUGGGGAGCAGCGUCUCGGCCGCUCACUCCUCAGGGUUCUGGGCCCUGGACGUUGCCAUGGCCACGGAGGGUAGAGGGUGCUGUAUGCCUGCCAGCUUCCACCCAGAACCCUCCCCAAGACAAGCUCCCCAUGGGGUGUCCAUGCUAUGGCUUUCACCGACCAGACGAUGCUGCCAGGAAGCUGGGAGGAAGGGGCAGGCAGGGUGAGGGACCUUGGAUCUGGGGUCUGGGGAAGAGAGCCCCCAUGGGAAAGAAUCUGUGGCCUCCCUUUCCAGGAAAAGCGCCCAGCCCUUCCCCAGUACUGCAGCUUGGGAGAAGGAGAGCCAUCCCACUUAGGACCGUCACUUAGGGCCCCGAGUAGAAAGAGUUAAGGAAGUGCACCUUUUCUCUAGGAGGGUGAGGGAGGAGAGCCCCUUAAGAUGGGAGAAAGGGGACACUUCAGAAAGGUGGGUAUCCCCCAUCCAUCCACAACAGGCAGGUAAAAACCGACAGCUGGGGCUUAAGGGCCUCCCGGGAGCUGGGAUGGUAACACCAAAGAAACCCCAAGCUUUGAGCAAAGGCAUCUGAAAGGAGGGAGACAGCGCCCCCUGGAGGCGAAUACAUGUCAGUUCCGACCCCAGAGCAGGAGGGAAGACGGGCAGGGCGCCCACUACAUGGCAUGUUCCUGCUCCUGGGGCACCACACUGCCCCGCUGUGAGGACUCCAGCCCGCCCCAGAAGCCGAGGUUUCUCCUGAGCGAGUCCGAGUCCCAGGAUUGUGAUUCGAGGCAUCCUGCCCAUCCCCAGCAGCAGAGAGCAACGGCAGGUGCGAGGAGCAGCUCCCAGGAUCUUACCUGCCAUCAAACCGAUGCUUCAAGAAGUCAAAUAAAG
rnacentral:lncRNA from 1 species